GAUGAAGAACGUAGCGAAAUGCGAUAAGUAAUGUGAAUUGCAGAAUUCAGUGAAUCAUCGAAUCUUUGAACGCACCUUGCGCCCUUUGGCCAUUCCGAAGGGCAUGCCUGUUUGAGUAUCAUGAACACCUCAACUCUUCAUGGUUUUCCAUGAUGAGCUUGGACUUUGGGGGUCUUGCUGGCCUGUGGGUCGGCUCCUCUCAAAUGAAUCAGCUUGCCGGUUUUUGGUGGGCAUCACAGGUGUGAUAACUAUCUACGCUUGUGGUUUUCCACCAGGGUAACCUUCAGCAGUGGAGGUUCACUGGAGCUUACAAAUGUCUCUCCUCUGUGAGGACAGCCCUUUGAAUGUUUGAUCUCAAAUCAGGUAGGACUACCCGCUGAACUUAAGCAUAUCAGUAAGCGGAGGA
rnacentral:misc_RNA from 1 species